AAUUUGAUGAAAUAUUUUGGUCCGUGUUUAUGAUUUUUUUUGAUUAUCGAACUUUGUUCGUUCCAAUAACUGAAUACG